UACGGAAAUAGAUAAGGGCGUACGGUGGAUGCCUAGGCUCUCGGAGGCGAUGAAGGACGUGGCAAGCUGCGAGAAGCCGCGGGGAGGUGCAAGCAACCUUUGAUCCGCGGAUAUCCGAAUGGGACAACCCGGUGUCCUGAAGGGACACCAUCCCGCACAGCGGGAGGCUAACGCAGGGAACUGAAACAUCUUAGUACCUGCAGGAAAAGAAAAUAACAAUGAUUCCCCCAGUAGUGGCGAGCGAACGGGGAAGAGCCCAAACCCGCCCUGUUACGGCAGGACGGGGGUUGUAGGACUGCGGCAUCGCAUGAACGAUGGCGAGCGGAACGCUCUGGAAAG
rnacentral:rRNA from 1 species